rnacentral:rRNA from 1 species
UGGGGAAUUUUGCGCAAUGGGGGAAAGCCCUGACGCAGCAACGCCGCGUGCGGGAUGAAGGCCUUCGGGUUGUAAACCGCUUUCAGUAGGGAAGAAAAUGACGGUACCUACAGAAGAAGCUCCGGCUAACUACGUGCCAGCAGCCGCGGUAAUGCGUAGGGAGCGAGCGUUAUCCGGAUUUAUUGGGCGUAAAGCGCGCGUAGGCGGGCUAUUAAGUCAGGUGUUAAAGCCCGGGGCUCAACCCCGGCCCGCACUGAAACUGGAUAGUCUUGAGUCUGGUAGGGGAAAGUGGAAUUCCCAGUGUAGCGGUGAAAUGCGCAGAUAUUGGGAAGAACACCAGUGGCGAAGGCGGCUUUCUAGGCCACGACUGACGCUGAGGCGCGAAAGCUAGGGGAGCAAACAGGAUUAGAUACC